rnacentral:rRNA from 1 species
AACGAACGCUGGCGGCAUGCCUAACACAUGCAAGUCGAACGAGACCUUCGGGUCUAGUGGCGCACGGGUGCGUAACGCGUGGGAACCUGCCCUUAGGUUCGGAAUAACUCCCCGAAAGGGGUGCUAAUACCGGAUAAUGUCUUCGGACCAAAGAUUUAUCGCCUUUGGAUGGGCCCGCGUUGGAUUAGCUAGUUGGUAGGGUAAAAGCCUACCAAGGCGACGAUCCAUAGCUGGUCUGAGAGGAUGAUCAGCCACACUGGGACUGAGACACGGCCCAGACUCCUACGCGAGGCAGCAGUGGGGAAUAUUGGACAAUGGGCGAAAGCCUGAUCCAGCAAUGCCGCGUGAGUGAUGAAGGCCGUAGGGUUGUAAAGCUCUUUUACCCGGGAUGAUAAUGACAGUACCGGGAGAAUAAGCUCCGGCUAACUCCGUG